rnacentral:misc_RNA from 1 species
GAUGAAGAACGCAGCGAAAUGCGAUACUUGGUGUGAAUUGCAGAAUCCCGUGAACCAUCGAGUUUUUGAACGCAAGUUGCGCCCGAAGCCAUUAGGCCGAGGGCACGCCUGCCUGGGCGUCACACGUCGUUGCCCCCCCAUCUACUCCUUCGGGAUUGCGGGGGGCGGAUGAUGGCCUCCCGUGCGCCUCGUCGCGCGGUUGGCAUAAAUGCCAAGUCCUCGGCGACGCACGCCACGACAAUCGGUGGUUGCGAAACCUCGGUUGCCCGUCGUGUGCGGUCGUCGCGCAUCGAGGGCUCGAAAAAAUUGCCGGGCUCCGGCUCGGCUUUCAACGCGACCCCAGGUCAGGCGGGGUUACCCGCUGAAUUUAAGCAUAUCAAUAAGCGGAGGA